CUUGUUAUCUUUUCGGCAGCCCGCGACCGGAAGCGGGGUGUGCCCGGAGACUCCUGGGAAAUGUAGUUCGGCCUGCCGAUGGCCCGGCCCAGCCAAAUGGCUCGGCCUUCUCGGGCACCAGAACCAAGGGGUGGGGGGGCGUGACUGGUCCGUUUGGAAGCCACGGGGAGUGGAGGCUCAUCUGCCCACGAUCACCGCAGGCCCAGGCCCCCGACGGUUGCGGAACCGACGAGCCCAGCCUGUCUCCGUGGUAACCGGCUGGCCGCAGAGGACUGUGGGAAGUGUAACUGGGCAGGACCCGCCAGUGCUCGAGGUCCGAGGGGUUGCCGUUAUACCGCCAGCCACCCGGGGCAGAACGAUUUUGCGGCGUCCGGGCGUCGUCGUCCUGCCGUCACUUUGGCCUCUGAUCACCCAGGCAGAACAUUUCUGAAAUUAAAGAAGCUCAUGAAGAAUUUAUCUGAAACAUAACUCUCUCACAGCACAAGUUAAGGCUCCCUGGGGACUUCUCCAGUCAAGAAUGACCCCAGCAAUGGUGGGGGCUGUGUCCUUGGCCCCCACCCAGAUCCAGUCCCAUAGACUGGCAUGCAGGGAACCUCCCAGAGGGGAAGUUGAGCAGCUGGCCUGCCCCAGAGAAGAGUUUGGAGCAGGAGAGAGAAGAGAGGAGCCAGGAAGGUGACCAGAGUGACCAGAACUGCCAGCCAGUGCUGAUGGAAAGACAGUGGCAUCAGGAGCGAGACAGACCUAGACCGGCUGUGCCUCUUGCUAGCUGUACACUCAUCUGUUUUCUUUACAAAAUGUAAAACUCUUUGAGGAAGAACCACCCCAUGUCCCUUGGACUCACAGCACCUCUGAGCAUCGAGGGACUCGGGAUGACAUGGGGAUCGGUGACUGUAUACAGCUGUGGAUGCAGACAGAUGGAUUUGUGACUCAGGGUCAUCACGCAUGGAGGCACGCUUACCCCUGCCUGAAGACAUGACCUGCCUUCUCGGGGAUGGUUGUCGGCCAUUCUCUUCCGGGUCACACAGGAAGAAGGUGAUCUCAUCUUUAUUGCCACCUCUUCCCCCACCCCGACCUGAAAGCUGGAUUAGCCCUGAUGUCCAUAAGGUGGCAGAGGCCCUUGGCUCUGCCUGGGAGGCAUUGCUGGCUAUCAUGUGUUGCGCUAACCUUGGGAGUGACCUUGAUUGGGGAGGCAGGGAACAAGCAAGAAAUUAGUAUGUUGGAGAGCUGGCCAGUGUCCCGGUUAAGGAUGGCUGGCUCAGGUUCCACCCCCAAGAUGAACUUGGAGCUCUUUGAGAGCAAGACCUAUGUCUGAAGCAUCUCUGUAUUCAUAGUGCCUCGAUUAACACCUGGCAUGUAGCAGGUGUUCGUCUGACACUGGGCGCUCCUGUAGUUGCCAGCAACCAAAGUUACCAGCAAGGAGGUAACAGGCAAACAGAUGUUAAUGGCUGUGCUGGAAAGUCCCACCUGUGCUGGCCGCCACAAAUGCAUCAUCCUUUGCUAUACAGCAGAGUUCUGGGUCCUGAGCACAAAAUGCAGGAACAGCUCUUGUCUUUUGUUAACUGCAAAAUAUCUUAUCUCCCCUACCAAAAAAAAAAAAAGGACAGACUCUAUGUAUAUAUCCAUGAAUUUAUAUAGCCAUGGCGUGCUCUUCUAAAUGUCUUUAAAACCUAUUAAGUUAGAAAUGUUGGAGGUGGGGAUGAUAAGAGCUAGUCCCUAGAUCUGGCAUUGCCCAUCAGAACUGCAUUUCCUAGAAAGCCAAGGCUGCUUCUGAACAGCUGAACCUUGAACCCAGUAAAGCCUUGAACCCGGUGAAAGGAUGAGUAGAUCGUUGAGCGUUGAGGAGAAAAAGGGAGGGUCCUUGCCAGCCGCCUCUUUGCCUGCUUACCACAGGCUUAUGAGCUCACAUGGCGGUCUCUGGGCAGGAGGACAGCUGGUCACUGGGUUUCUGUGCUCCUGGGAGUUUAGAGCUGGAACGUCACUUACAGUGGAUCUCCAGAUUCCCUCUCAGAUCACUCCUCGAAGGGUCUAUCCCAGGAACAAAUCGAGUAGGAAGUGAUAGAAACAGGCAGAGGAGUUUGAAAUGGCUAAACCAGGGAAGGCUUUUAGGGCAGAGGGGAUUGGAGGGACAGGGACUGUAAGCUCAGCGAGGUUAGAGACUCUUUAACUCCUGGGAGGCUGGGUGAAGGCUGUUCCAGAGGCCUCUAGGAAAUCGCUCAAGAAACUAGAAGGAAAGCUGUCAAGUGCUUCAUGGGGUGCAAAGUCACCCCCAGCCCCACUCACCACCGUGGGGGGCUCCAGUGGAGCUCCUCAUCAGAACUGCCACGCCACGCCAGCUCUUCCAAUGGGCGCCGGCCAGCGGGCUCUCACCUGGGGCUCAGCCCCACCUGAGCGUGUGAUAUGCUCUGAUGACCAGUCACUCACAUGCGUUUAGUGCCUCACGCACAGGGUCUCAUUUAAUCCUCCCAACAACGCUUGAAAUGGGGUGUUUCUAUCCUCACGUUACAAAUGAAGAAACUAAGGCCUGGAGAGGUGCAGUGACUUGCCCAAAGUCAUGCAACUAAGUAGAGCAGCGAGGCUUAGAAUCCAGGUCUUGCAUGUUCUCAUUUUCGCGCUGUGGGAUUUUUCAUUCCCUUUGCUGGAAUCACCAGUCUGUUUUCUGUCCCCGUUUCAUGGUAUCAUGUUGAGUUAGUCCCGCUUCUCCAGUCUCUUCUGUGGCCUGCCAAAGCCACAAAAUGGUUUCUAAGUUCCAAGUCCAGUGGGUACCCGAUGCUGCCAGGCCCUAUUAAAGCCAUGUUCGUGAGAAAGCCCGGCUUCCUACUAGCAGUCCCUGGAAUUUCUCCUGUGGGAAUUCGGGGGAUAUUCCGAGUCAGGGCAGACUCAAGAAACUGAUUAUGCUCUUUAUUCUGUAAGUCAAUUAACAGGCCCUCAGAGCGAGUGACUGAAGAGCUGGAUCCGGCGGGGCAGGGCCAGCUGCAGCCACAGGUCAAGGGCCUUGGUUCAUCUGCCAGCCAGAUUCCUCUCUUCUCCACUUGGCAUCCACUGAAACGGGACUGAAGUGUGCAAAAUGGCCUUUUCCCUCCUGUGUCCACCUGGCGUGUCUCUAGUAGACUGGCCUAAUUUCCUUAUCUUGUGGCCCUGGGCUCCAGGAGCCACCUUCCACACCCUCUGUCCUGCCCCACCCCCAUACCCCUCCCCCUCAUUCAGCCCAGGUGGCUGUGUUGUAUCACACGACUCUGCCUCUGUCCUCCUCGCACCACACACACACACACACACACACACACACACACACACACACACACACUCACACACUCAUGCAGGUCAGUGAUCCAGGAUCUGUGUACACUGGCCAACAACUUUUGAAGUCCCCUGGCUCAGGGAAUAUUUGGAAAGCCAGUCGGGCCAGGCAGAUUCCUCUUUUAGGAAAUUUGAACCUGCAAAUCAGACUGCAUGGGCAGUGUGUGACAGGAGGUCGUGAGGGCAAGUAGGGCCAGGUGCUGGCCGGAAGUACGCUGACGUGGACGCUUGGAAAUUGAAGAAAGGCAAAACAACACUUAUCGUUGGGGGAUUAAUGAGCCUCUUUGGGAAGAAGGUAAAGGAUGUCGAGAUUAGAGGCAGAACUCCAGGAAAGGCAGAGAGAAGAGCCAGCCCUGGCGCCUCCCCAGGGCUCGCCAGGCCUGCCUCGCCCGUGUGUCACUGCGGCAGGCUCCUUACUUCGUCCCUCUGCUGUCUGUCGGCUCUGAAUUGGGCAUGCGACAGUUCUGCCUGCAUAACUUAUGGGGAAAUGGCUGGGGGACCUUCUGGGAAGAUUUUGCUUUCUGAUUAAAGGAGAAUGAAGAGGCCCAUUUCUUCCUCCUGCUUUGAACAAGGAUGUUUGAGAUGUGAUACUUGGAGCUGUGGCAGCCAUUUUGAGACCAGGUGGCAACAAAACCAAGGGAGAAAGCCAGCAUACCAAGGUUGGGCGAGUAGACAGACAGACAAAGCCUAGGUCCUCGAUGAUACCGUUGAGCCACCAUACAUAUCCUGGAACCACCUACUUCCAGUCUCACUGAUCUUUAAAUUGAACUGUCUUUAUUUCUGCUAUUUGCAGCCUAAGGCAUUCUUAGCCAGCCAAUACAGCACUCCUCCACGGAUGCAGCUUGGUACAGCUCCAAAUGGAAUAUCAGCCCAAUUUAGACACUGGAGACCUUAAUUGUAUGGUAGGAAGUACAGGUCAAGAUUGGUCAUAGCCCACAUAGGGAAGCAGCUUGAGCACUUGGUUCCGAUUCCUGGAGCCUACAGGGCACUGAUGAGGAAAGAAAGAUUCAGGACAGUUCCAGAUGCAUGAGCCUGGGCGUCUAAACUGGGGCUCCAUGAGGAGCUUUAGAACAAAUCAGUGUGGAAUGGGUGGGGGCUAGGUGUUAGUCCCUGGAUGCAGAGCCUGAGCAUGGGCCAGAAGGCUGUGGCACAAGGAGAAGCAAGUUGGAGUCGGCCAAUGGUGAGCUAGGUUGGAUGAAUUCUGGAGGAAGCCAGUGUCACACAGCAGGGUUUUAUGAGCCCCAUACACUAGAUGAAGGAAACGUAUGGCAGCUAGAACUUAACUGAUGGGAAACUAGGCUUUUUAGUUACUCUCCAGCCAGCCUAAGUGACAGUUCAUAUCCUUCGGGGAACAGGGUGCCCUGACCUGAGGCCACUUCCCGCUUUCUCCAUGCUUUGUCCCUUUACCCCCUGGCCCUUCUCUCUUUACCUUUCCUUCCCACUUCUCUAAGCAAAGCCAGGAGCCAGAAACACACAGGACCUGAAUCUCUUCUUCCUCAACUGGGGAAUGGAUAUAGUGGCAAGCAAGGAUGUCUCCUAGAAGACUUAGAACCCCAGGCUAGGGAUAAGGAGUUCGGUUGGGAGGUGAAAAUGCAGUCGGUGGAUAGGACAAGAUGAAGCUUUCUUCUGAUCCAAUUUUCAUCACAUAAUGUGGUUUUUGUGUUACUUCAACAGAAGAAAAUGUGCCUGACCCUUGCUUCAUGAAAAGAGGAAUUGAACUUAGGAACUCUGGCCCUUCCUCUUUAAAUGUCUCGUUUUAAAUAUAAAACAAAGUGAAACUGGUAUCCUUCUCAUGUAGCUGUCAGAUGCAUUCAAAACUGGAGAAAACUUGCCCCCCGCUUUUCCCAACUCAAAAUAGUCUUCAACAGUAAAGAGACGUGGCCCAUAGAAGUUCCGCAAGCUAAUGGAGGCCGAAGACGAAUGUGUUGCAAUUAGGGUAGAAUUUGCAACCUCCAGAUCCUGCCAGUAAGCCUCGCCCCCUCAACACAGUCCUUUCACACCCUCCACAAUUUAUGGAGUCCUGCGCUUGAAGGUUCAGACUAGGCUGACUCUGUUUGCCUGUUGUAUUACUUCAUUCAUUCAGCAAAAUUGGACUGAAUACCUACCGGGAAUAGAAGUUAAGCUUAUAAAAGCAAGUUUGUAAGCUUAUCUUCCUAAGUCAUUAGAGAUAAAUAUAUAUAUAUAUUCUAUGAGACAGAGAAAGAAAUGGAAAUCUUGGUUGCAGUGGAAGAAGCAAUAAAGUUUAAGCCCCUACUUAAAUGCAAUUCAUGCUUUAAUUGACAAUAAACCCUGAACCCCCUCCCCUCCUCAAAGUUACCCCAUAUAUCACUGAAGAUUCUCUGAAAUCCAGUAAGGAAAACAACUGAAUGGUGUUCCUCCUUCUCUACAAUCAAGGCUUUUCUCCAGAAUGAAUUAGCCUGAUUACUGGCUAAAAGCUCUCCCACAAUCUUUCCAAUGAGAGUGUUUCUUUCCUGUAAAUUCUCCAAAGAUGAUGCUCCACGUUGGUUCCACUCACAGGCUGCUCUCCAGUGUGAAUGAGUUCAGUGUGCCCCACGCCUCCCCCGGACGGCCUCCCCCAUUCAGCACACGCGCCUGCUUCCUGUCCUGGUGAAUCAGCCCACAUUGUCCGAGGCUGGAACUCUGAUUGAAGGUUCUUCCUCAUCCCGUCUGCUCCCAGGGCUCCUAGCCACUCUGAAAUCCCAGAUGUCUAAUUAGCUCUCAGCACCGACUAAAAGCGCUUUCACAGCUAUGACGCGCAUGUGGUUUUUCUCCAGUGUGAAUUCUCUGACGUUGAAUGAGCUUUGCUUUUCCCGAAAGCCCGUACAGUUACGGCAUUUGUAGAGUUUCUCCUGCAUGCGAAUUAGCUGGUAUCAGGAUGCUGCCGGAUGCCUCCUGCAAACGGAUUCUCUCCAAGAUGAACGUUAAGGAGGCGGGGUGCCCGGAGAAAAGUGGCCUCUGUUUCAUAACAAAGAUGUUUUCUCCAAGAUGUAUACUAUAAUAAGGAAUAAAUUCUGAAUUCUGUUCUAAGAUUUGGCCACACCUAUCUUACUUGUGGGUUUUCUCACCUCUUAAAAAAUGCGUAUGAAUUGCGAAUGUUCUCACGUUCAUCCCAUUCACGGGACGGGUUCUCCAGGAUGCCUCUGUAUUCAUGGAUACCUCAAAACUCAGACCUGCUCAGUGUACCCCAGGGACCAUCUCAAUGCAGCUGCCUAUGAAUCUACUACUGCAGAAAGUUCCCAUUUAGACCAGGUGUUCCUGGUCCCAGGCUCACAUUAUGAAAUUACAGGAAAUGUAAAUUUCAGCCAUUGUCUCUUAAAAUAUAAAAUUUCUCAGACUGAGAAUGAAAGAUUUGAGCAAAUCGAUAAGAGUGCCUUUGGGGUGAAUAUAUAAAGUGAAGGGUGUAACAGCCUGCUGGUCUCUGAUAUUCUCUUGUUCUUUCUUAACCCAAUUUUGGCCACAGUGAGAAGGUGCCCAUUAAAAAUGCUCGCAUUCUCUAGUGACUGGGAAAGAGCAUGUGGGCAGUUGCAAGGAGCCACUGUUUCUUGAUCUGGGUGCUGGUCAGACAGGCGUGUUCACCUAGUGAAAAUCCCUAAGUGGUAUACUUUUUAGUAUAAAAUUUUAAAAAAAAAAAUCACUUUCCCAUCCUUCUAGGCAGCCCCAGGACAGUUCUAGCAAAGGAGAUGGGAUCAGAAUUGGGCUUCCAAGAAAAAUAUGUGACAGGGAGCAGACUCUGGAGCAAGAACCUUUGGCCUUUUCCCUACCUGCCCCCUUGUUUCUGCUGGAUCCUGGUCGUGAUGCCUGGAGGUACAGCAGCCAUUCUGUAAGCACGUGGAGGAAGAUUGCCACAUGCAAAAGAGGGCACAGUGAACCUAAAGCAGCUGCCUGGUCCUGGUGGCCUUGAACUUCUCACCUCCAGAAUUGCAUUGUUUUUAGCCUGCUGCUGCUAAAUCGCUUCAGUCGUGUCCGACUCUGUGCGACCCCAUAGACGGCAGCCCACCAGGUUCCUCCAUCCCUGGGUUUUUAGCCUAGUGGGACAGAAACGAUUUACAUUUGAUUGUGAGUAAGGUUAGGCAUCUUCUCCUAUGCUUUUUGCCUUUUGUUUUAUUUUCCCCACUCAAAGAACAUCUGUACUCUGAAAAUGUUAGCCCUUCAAGUAUGAAGCGGUUGCAGAGUCUUUCAGAUUUGGCAUUGGUCUUUUGAGUUGGUGUGUGUGCAUGUAUGUGUGUGUGUCUUUAAAUCAAACAGAGGUUACUGCACUUUUGUUCUUUAGCUUCUAAAUUUUGCAUAAUUUUAUACUUUUUCCAUUCUGGAACUGUUAAAAUGCUAACUCUUUAUAAUAGUACCUUAUGGCUUAAUUUUAUUAAGUUUAAAUUUUGGAUCCAAGUGGAAUUCAAUACAAUGUAAGGAAUUAGGUCAAGAUCCAGGUUUCUCCUUCCCACAACCUCUCAGCACUGUCUAGUGAAUAACUGUCUUUCCCCAGCUAUUUUGAAAUGCUACCUUUAUCAUGUGUCAAAUUCCAUUUGAAUUGGAGUUCUUUCUUGAAUCUCUAUUUAUCGGUCUGUAUCUCCACCAAUACAUCAUUAUCUUAAUUAUUUUGCUUUAUAAGUUGUUUCAAUAUCUGAUAAGGUUACUCCCCUCAUUACUCUUCUUUUUCAAAAUGCUCAUGGGUAAAAAUAAGCUGGGUAAGUUGGAGCUGGUGAGAGUCACUCAGAGAUAGAACACUGUCCUCAAGAGAUGUUGGACUCAAUGUGGCCAGUCGUGUAUAUGACUGUGGCAUUCGAUCAAAGGGAAAAGGGCAAAAGGAGAAUAAUGGAACUUCCUCACAAACUGUCCUAUUUACUAUGAAGUCAGGAACUGCACAAAGGUUUCUCAACACAGGGAGCAUUUUAACAAUAUAUUUUAAACACUUAUCCUUUUCCCCUACAGUGUAUUCCUGGAACUAUUUUGUUAAAAAAAGAAAGUCAUAUUUUCUCUUAAUAACUACUCAUGUCCAGAAACUCAGCAUCAAACAAGUCAUGGUUCUAAUAAGUAGGUCAUAAGAGCAAAAAUAGAAAACAUCAGAUGGUCUUCAGUACUACACAAGGGUAACAUCGUGUUUCAAGUCCUAUUACAUGGCCACGUGUGCACUCAGGGUGAUUCUUCCACAGCCCUCAAUGUACUGUGAAGUCGGCACAAAGCACAGAUCAUUCUAUCUAGUCUGAAAAUAGCCCUGUCUAUGACAAAGGGACAAAUAUAACAUUAACAAUCAUGCUUCCCUUUUUGGAACUUCAGAGAGUCGUGAGGAAAUUAUAUUUAAGAUCCAAGACUCUUCUUAAAAUAAGCUUUCUAAAGAGAACUGAACUGAUCCUAUUUCUUCUAAUAACUUUCCUUGAGACAAAGGGAAGCAUUCAGAAUAAUUCUGUUGGUCUUACAGCUGCAUAUGGUUUUAAGUUUUUCCUAAAAAUGGCUAUUAUGGCAUUUAAAGGCCUUCUUAGGACAUUAGUUUUGAGUUCUCGGAAGUAUUAAGAGAACUAGUCUCUCAAAUAAUGCCUUUUUUUAUUCAUCUUUGCUAUAUAAAUGCUUGGUAUUGGUGUAAAGAAC
ensembl:lncRNA